UACGUAGGGUGCAAGCGUUGUCCGGAAUUAUUGGGCGUAAAGGGCGCGUAGGCGGUCAGCACAAGUCAGUUGUGAAAUCUCCGGGCUUAACUCGGAAAGGUCAACUGAUACUGUGCGACUAGAGUGCAGAAGGGGCAACUGGAAUUCUCGGUGUAGCGGUGAAAUGCGUAGAUAUCGAGAGGAACACCUGCGGCGAAGGCGGGUUGCUGGGCUGACACUGACGCUGAUGCGCGAAAGCCAGGGGAGCGAACGGG
rnacentral:rRNA from 1 species